UGAAGUCGUAACAAGGUAGCCGUACCGGAAGGUGCGGCUGGAUCACCUCCUUUCUAAGGAGCAUCUGACUCUUCGGAGUCCAGAACCCAGAUCGAAGGCAUACGUUCUUCGCUGGGAGCUCAUGGGUGGAACAUUUGACAUGGUGCGAAGGAUGUUGUUCUUCUCCAGUACGCCGCUUCGGUGGUUGGAACGGGGAGGGUGACGGAUGUCGCACCUGCACGCUGUUGGGUCCUGAGGGACCGGAUGCGGAUCCUUUGGGAUCUGGUCUGAACCUCUGGGCCUCUUUCUGUUUCCCCCGUGUGGGGAAGUGGUAAGGGGCACCGCCCGUACUUUGAGAACUACACAGUGGACGCGAGCAUCUUGCAACAGCCUUCGGGUUGUUGCACAAGAUGAUCUUAAAGAUCAUUAGUCAAUUUCAGAUCCCGCCUUCGGGUGGGGUCGAGUUUUUGAUUCAAACUCAUGUGAUUUCAAGUCUUUAAGAGCAAACGGUGGAUGCCUUG
rnacentral:misc_RNA from 1 species